CCUACGGGCGGCAGCAGUGGGGAAUAUUGGACAAUGGGCGAAAGCCUGAUCCAGCCAUGCCGCGUGUGUGAAGAAGGCCUUCGGGUUGUAAAGCACUUUCAGUGGGGAAGAAAGCCUUGGGGCUAAUACCCUCGAGGAAGGACAUCACCCACAGAAGAAGCACCGGCUAACUCCGUGCCAGCAGCCGCGGUAAUACGGAGGGUGCGAGCGUUAAUCGGAAUUACUGGGCGUAAAGCGCGCGUAGGCGGUCUGAUAAGCCGGUUGUGAAAGCCCCGGGCUCAACCUGGGAACGGCAUCCGGAACUGUCAGGCUAGAGUGCAGGAGAGGAAGGUAGAAUUCCCGGUGUAGCGGUGAAAUGCGUAGAGAGCGGGAGGAAUACCAGUGGCGAAGGCGGCCUUCUGGACUGACACUGACGCUGAGGUGCGAAAGCGUGGGUAGCAAACAGGAUUAGAUACCCUAGUAGUC
rnacentral:rRNA from 1 species